CUCCUUGCUUGAUUUCUAGCUUUCAAAGAUGAUUCUCCUCCUCUCUCCUACUGAUGUUUUAGGAUCCUUAAAUAGGGCUAGGGCUAGGAUUAAGGUGGUAUUUUUCCCAUGAUUUUAUUCUAUAUAUCAUUCUUUUUAUUUGGUAUAGAAUCUCUCCUCCUUUGGAUAGGCUUUAAGCAACCACCAGCCAUCUACUCCUUAUGCUGUCCAAAUUUUUUGAUUUUAUUAUGAUUUCCAUAGUAAAAGAAGGAAAGGAGGCAUGGUUAAUUAGAGGAGAAGAAUUUCUUCCUUCCUGGGUCCACAAAAUCUGCAAAACAAAGUAAGGUUUCGGCUGCCCAAAUCAAGUUUUCCAAGAAUUAGUUCCAAUUCUUUCUCAGAUUGCUCCUCAUGCAGAAUUAGUUUGGACUCUGAUUUUCUUUCAUUUAAUUCUUUCCAAGAUAGCUCUUUGCCACCCAAGAUUAGUUGCCAUAUCAGAUCUUUGUGCCAAGAAACACUAAGAAGAAUCUGGGUGUAUCGGAUGUUUCUUGUUGUGUCCAACAUUGUUACCAACUUCAACCUACUGUAGCCACCUCAUUUGGAAUCCAAAUUC
rnacentral:lncRNA from 1 species